GCUCUCUUUGGCAGCACAUAUACUAAAAUUGGAACGAUACAGAGAAGAUUAGCAUGGCCCCUGUGCAAAGAUAACAUGCAAAUCUGUGAAGCGUUCCAUGUUUUU
rnacentral:snRNA from 1 species